CCUACUGGAGGCUGCAGUGGGGAAUAUUGGGCAAUGGAGGAAACUCUGACCCAGCAACGCCGCGUGAAUGAUGAAGGUCUUCGGAUUGUAAAGUUCUUUUCUAAGGGAAGAAGAAAGUGACGGUACCUUAGGAAUAAGCCUCGGCUAACUACGUGCCAGCAGCCGCGGUAAUACGUAGGAGGCAAGCGUUAUCCGGAAUGACUGGGCGUAAAGGGUGCGUAGGUGGUUCAGCAAGUUAGUAGCGUAAUUCCGGAGCUCAACUUCGGCACUACUACUAAAACUGUUGGACUUGAGUGCAGGAGGGGCAACUGGAAUUUCUAGUGUAGCGGUGGAAUGCGUAGAUAUUAGGAAGAACACCGGUGGCGAAGGCGAGUUGCUGGACUGUAACUGACACUGAGGCACGAAAGCGUGGGGAGCAAACAGGAUUAGAUACCCGUGUAGUC
rnacentral:rRNA from 1 species